rnacentral:lncRNA from 1 species
GAGCUGCCGGGACGGCGCAAGGUGGCUGAGCGAAGCUUUUUGCUCGGUGCUUACAGGGAGUACCUGAGAUGGUUUGGGAAAGGAAACAGGGGGUCUCAGACCGCUUGGGUGCAGCGCUCUCCCCAUGCGUUUGAGUGCAGAUCUGUCGAGACGCCCCAGCCCUCGCCACCCCACCAAGCUCUCAGGUAGAGAGGCCCCGGGACAGGGUGAGCCCCAUAGUCCUUUGGUGGGCAUAACACAGAGGGAGGAGCAAUUGUUUACACAUGUGCCCAGUACAAGAAGGGAAACUGAUAUUUAAGACUGAAGUGGGGAAACGGGAGGGAAAGGAGCCCUUAUCCUGGAUGUUAGACGCUAUUAAGGACCAUGCUAUUUUGUAUUUGUGAGAAUGAUAUUGAAGGUAAGGAGGUCCUUAUCCUUGAAGAUGCAUGCUGAAGUGUACAGAAGUGAAAUGUCACGAUGUCUGCAGUUUUCAAAUGAUGCAGCUAACAUACGCACACAUUAUGAGAGAGAGAACAGAAAGGAAGCAAGUAUUGCAAUAUGUUAACAGUUGUUGCAUCCUGUUGGGGGUGGGGGGUAAACAGACGUUCGUUGUACCGUUCUUUCAACUUGCCUAAAUAUUUGCAAAAUGCCAUAAUGAAAAUUUUGGAAGAGUUCCCUUAUAAAAUAGUGCCUGAAUGCUAAGAAAAUGAACGCGGCUUCUUUUCCUUUCCCUGUCCCGGGUGGGACAAAUCUGCGAGCAAGCAGGGCUCAAGGCCAGCGGGGUCUGGACGGGAAGAGCAAUGGGUAGAGCCGGCCUGCAGCUGCCAUAGCCCUGGGCAGGCCAGGAGGGGCCAUCGGAGCCUCGGGGCAGAUAGGCUGCCGGGCGCAAAACUAUGCGGAGGAGCAGCCGAGCGCGUUGGCCCCGGGGGCGGUGCGGGGUGGGGACUUCCUGGCGGCUCUCAGCAACCCCUGGUCCGACCAGACUCGGUGGGCUCGGCUGCACCACGGAUGAGCAAAGAAACCGGCGGGCCGCGGGAACUGAGCCGCGCGCCUGCAGCCGUCGCCACGGCGGCCCGCGGCCUUCCCCCGCAUUCCCCGAGGGAGGCCGUAGUUGUCGCGGCCUGCAGACAGCGCGCAGGGUAGCCCAGAACCGCGUGCGGGCGCUGGGGGAAAAAAAAUUAGGUGCCGAAAGAAAGCAGCAACGCACGCGCGCGCACACACACACGAAAUCAGUUUACAAAAAUAAAACCGCGGAAUCUGCCGUGCUCGGCGCCCGAGUUUGAGCUACUUAACUCUCGCAUGCAUUUUACUGUCAUAUUUCUGUAGAGCUGAUGGAAAAUCUGAAAUGUUUUUGCAAGGGCGAUCUCGCAGACCCAAGGCGUUGCAAGCGUUGCGCAGCCUUUCGCUGGCGUCUGCGGCUCUUUUCCGGGGCGCGAGGAGGGAAAAGAGUAGUGUCUUUCAGGGUCUGCAAAGCUGUUUUGAAAAGUUAACCAAAAAGGUUUUAAAUAGCAAGAUUUUCUUUUCAGGAAAAGUUUUUAAAACGGCUGAUACUCGUCCAGUUUUGGUGGGCGCUAAAAAGUCUUAUUACUAAGCUACAAGUUUCCCUGUUAAGAUUUUCAAAACCCCUCGUGGACAGGGCUGAAAGUUUGCCGGGCUGUGAGACGUGACUGAACACGCUUCUAAAUCCUCAGAUAGAUCAUUUAUAAAGCUCUGGUGCCCUUGGGAUGAAAGGCUUCGCUGAGUUUUUAAGACUUGCCUUCGUGGGUAAAUUUGCUUGGGUUGCUACACGUAAGCAUUCAUUUCCCCACCUAAAUUAGUAAAAGGGCAGAAGAUUCCAACGACGUAAGAUAAAAGUUGGGUUUAUGGCAUGUUCUCUAAAGACAAAUUGCAACAGCUUUCUUUAUUAAACUCCUUUUGCUACCUCAGCAAAUUGGAGAGCCAGUUGAAUAUUGAUGAAUUCUUUGAGGGUGAGUAAUAUUGCUACAGGCCGGAGAAAGUAAGGGAGGACAAGCUUAAGCAUUUACUCAAGUGAACAACCUUCAAAUGUUUUUCAACUAUGAUGUCUCAAGGAUUUUCUUAGGACCUUUGAAGCAAACCCUGAUUCUGCAAAUGGCUUCUUAUUUGGUAGGCCCUUCCCAACCUGACAAAACUCACAGGAUAUAAAUUGCCCUAAGAAGUGGUGAGAAACUUACCCUAGCAUUGGAAACAGGCACAGCCCACCACCUGGGGUGUUAGGGGGGCCUCCAACUGGUAGUCAGGCAACUUCUCACGGGGCAACUAGGAACCUGAAAUGAAAAUUGCACACCAUCUAUUGUUUUUUUUGGUCCCUUCUGAAAUAUUGUUUCAAGGCAGCUGUUUUCAGGAAAAUAGCACAUAUUUUCCUUUCUCUUUUUGUUCCGUGAAACGUUCGGAAAUUAUAUUGAUAAGGAAUAAUCAUAGUCCGCCGAGGGAGCAAUAGCUUUGAAGGCUCUGAAGGCACAGCUGAGAAAAAUAAAUUAGCUCUAGACUAGAGAUACUCAGCAAGGAAGUUAUGCAUAACAUGGUAUUUGGCAUAAAUUUUGGAAAAUGUUUUCUGGAAAGCAACUGUGAAUGAAUCUUGGGAAAUAGAUACUGGAGAAUCAAGUUGCAUUAAAACUUAUUUUUUUGUAAAUUACAAAGAAGAUUUCUAGAACUUUCCAUUUUUAUUUUAACUAGAAAUGGUGUUUAAGAUUGUGUUUUUAAUGAAGGCCUUGAGUUAGGGAAACAAGAUUUUCCUUAUGUUGUAAAUAUCCAGAAGUCUUUAGAGAGAUAAAAUCAGGAUAGAGUUACAAAUUUAACAGAAAGAAAACAACUGGAAUUGUGUUAUGAAGCUUCUAUUGUGUUUUUUUGUAAAGGCUUUUUUUCAUGGUUCAAGCAGUGGCUAGCAGUGAGUAGUAACUGUAUACUAUAAUAUAUAAUGUAAGAAUGCUUGUCCUACUCUCAGAUUAAACAAAAAAGACAGUGUCCUUUGGUAAUUUUUAUUUUAUGAAAUUAGUUAUAAAAAUAGUUAUUUGCAAAACUCAGAACUUUGGGAGAAAAACUCUAAUCUUAACUUCUCCUACCCCCGUGAUCCCAUCAGGAAAAAGUAGAAUGAAUUAGUAAAUUUUUCCUUUCUGCCAAAGAGAAGCUUAGUAAGUCAUUAGUAGCUGUUGCUUUUGAUUUCUAGAUCUCUUUUCCCUCCUCAAAGACGCAGAAUCACUGCCUUCAGUGCUGCCUGGAUUUCUUCUUUAAACCAGGCUUUUUUUUUUUUUUUUCUGGGUGUGUACUAUUAUUGUCUUAAUUAUUCCUGGAUUUUUGCCCAUUAAAUCAAAAAUUGUCUCAGAUGACGGCAAUGAUUGGAACUUUUUGCUAAGGAGGGCGAGAAUGAAGGGGUGUAGGACAGUCUCAGCGUCUCUUUACACCGUGCUGGCCCUAUAGUGCAACCUGUAAGUGGGCAGGACUUGCUGUCCUUUGCACAGAGCGUGAACUGACAGAGCAAAAUGUAAUGACAGGAGCAUGGAGACCAAAAACCCAUCUCUUGUAGGUGUGGUGGCCAUAAUGGCGGUUCAAGUAUAGUACUAGGCUAGAUUUAGUCACUUGCUUUCACCAUAAAAUUAUGGUAAUCAGUUUCACCUCACACUUCUAGAACUUUCCUCGAACUUCAGCUAAUUACGAAAAAGAGAAAAGAAAAACCCCAAUAUAUCAGUGUCAACCUGUCAAAUGCAAUCUUGUUGAGGGAAACUGAAGUGCCUUUGGAAGGCACUUCAUUGAUAUCAAAAAAAUUGAAACAAACAAACAAAAACACCAACCAAAAGUGAUCAGCACCAAGGAUAUCCUGUAAAAAGCACAGAGCUCUGCUUUGUGAUGUCUGAAUGACAUCGCUUUUGGGAUCUUGUUAUGUGAAAAGAAAACACUCCUCGGGGCAAAUAAUAUCUUGCUGGGUAGAAAGAAUAGGAGGGAACAACAAAUUGAAGAGUGCUAAGGGAUGCUAUCCUUGUUCAAAACCAAGAUGCAGCUGGAGUGUUUUCCAAAGCAUGAAAUACAUUGUUGAAAUAGCAGAGAGAAAGUGAAUGUGCAUAUCUGAAAUGUUCACAUGAGAGAUGGUAACACGGCAUCAUCCAGAACUGAACUCACUCGUGGUUGCCAUUCUUUCCCCUGAAGCUCCGUUUGCAUUUUAAAAAAUAAAACUUAAGAGAUAGAGUGUCAAUUCGCCGGGCAUGGUGGUGGAUGACUGUAAUCCCAGCUACUCGGGAGGCUGAGGCAGGAGAAUUGCUUGAACCCGGGAGGUGGAGGUUGUAGUGAACCGAGAUCGCACCACUGCACUCCAGCUUGGACACGACUCUGUCAAACAAACAAACAAACAAAAAAAACAGCGAUAGAGUGUCUAGGACUGAUGGAUAAUGUCAUUUCUUUUGCUUCCUGUUUCUUAAAAUUAUUCUUGGGCUUACGAUCGGGUGGGAUUUUGCAGUUCAUGACCAGAGUAAGUCCCAGCCCUCCGUGUAGAAGAGGAAGUAGAAAUCCAGAUCCUGUUUUUAAUUUUAGCAUUUCUCCUAAACCCAGGGCUUGACAGCUUCUUUAGUCCAGAGUCCCCAGGAAUGCCUACGCCAUAGGCAGGGAAGAGUGAAAAUGAGAGUAGGGUGGAGAGCAAGGGCCAGGGCAGAAGACAGAAAGAAAGAAGAUGAAAGAAGAGAAAAAAAAAAACAAGUCCUUCUCCUCUGUCCCUACUAUCUGUCCUCAAGUUCAGAGUCUCCACUUGCCACCAUGAUGUCAUCAAGGUGACCUUCUCAGGCCCCCCACUGAUCUCUCAGUUGAGUUCUGCUCCUCUCCCAGUGGUCCACGGAGUUCUGCUGGGAAAACACAAUUCUGGUCAUAUUAAUCCUCGGCACAAAAGGCAGAUGACUAAAAAGCUUAACUCCUUAAUGUGGCAUUCAGGGCAUUCUACAAUCUGGCUCCAAUCUGCGCUUCUGCUUGCAUCUCCUACCCUCCAGCCACACCUUCUUUAUGUGUUUAUGCUGGAUACCCCUGUUCCUCCCAUUUCCGCAUCCUUCUUAGGCCCAGCUCAAAUGCCACCUCUUCCUUGAAGCCUUCUCAGAUGGCCUCAGAGUUGGAGUUAACUGCCUCUGUCCUGUCCUGUCACGGCACUUUAAUUAACUUAGUUGUUCUGAAAUUCUCUUCCUAGCAGACAGUAAGCUCCUAGAGGGUAGGGACAUGUCUGUCUAUAGGUAUCUUCUCAGCGCUUUGCACAAUAAUUUGCAUCCGUUGAUGUCCAAUACAUAUUUGUUUUUUUGUUUUGUUUUUUUUGUUUGUUUUUUGAGAUAGAAUCUCACUCUGUCGCCCAGCCUGGAGUACAGUGGUGCCAUCUCGGCUCACUACAAACUCCGCCUCCCAGGUUCAAGCAAUUAUCAUGCCUCCCAAAUAGCUGUGAUUACAGGCACGCACCAUCACACUCGGCUAAUUUUUGUAUUUUUAGUAGAAACGGGGUUUCACCAUGUUGACCAGGCUGGUCUCAAACUCCUGACCUCAAGUGAUUCACCUGCCUUGGCCUCCCAAAGUGCUGGAAUUACAGGCAUGAGCCACUGUGCCCAGCCAAGUUAGAAAGAAAUCCAAUACAUAUUUGUUAACUGAACGUAUACCUGAGAAGGGAAAAAAGGAACCGGAAGAAGUGAGAACAAGGUGCUGUGCUGGCGGUAAAGAUGAUGGCUAACAUCCUCAAGAGUUGGCUUAGGCACCAUUUGGUGUUCUUGGUGCUGACCAAGGGUUGUUGAGCUCAUAUCUAACAUGUUGGCUUCACAAACAUCCAUCUGGGACUGACACUUGGAACACAUCCUCUGGAAUAAUAUAGAAUUAAUUUGCUUUUAAAUUAGCUGCUCAGUACUAUAAACUCUCUCCUGAAAAUCUAUCACCAUCAUUUUAUACUUUUAAGCUUCAAGCUGAUCCUUGAAGGGAAGGUGGAAUUUGGAUGGAAUGGGCAAAACAGCAUUUUCAGAGGCCAGGAGGCAGAGAAGAACUGAAAGGAGAUGGACCUAGUUGGACAGAGCCUUUCUACUGGGGAAUUAGAGACUGGGCUGGACAAGUAGGGUGAUGUCAGAUUAUUGGGGGGUGGGGAGGCAGGCGCGGUGGCUCACGCCUGUAAUCCCAGCACUUUGGGAGGCCGAGACGGGUGGAUUGCUUGAGGCCAAGAGUUCAAGACCAGCCUGGCCAACAUGGUGAAAACCCAUCUCUACUAAAAAAUACAAAAACUAGCCGGGCAUGGUGGCGUGUGCCUGUAAUCCCAGCUACUCGGGAGGCUGAGGCAGGAGAAUGGAGAGUAGCUUAAACCCAGGGGGCAGAGGUUGCAGUGAGUGGAGAUCGUGCCACUGCACUCCAGCCUGGGUGACUGAGACUGUCU